GGGGAGUCGGCCCUGCCCGGUGGUGUCGUGCUUAACGGUCGCAAUGAAUAGUUGUGCUAAGGUAGCGCAGUCAAUUGUCCUUUAAUUGGGGAAAGGAAUGAAAGGGUUGACGAGGGGGAGGCUGUCUUUGUAAUAUAAUUUGAAAUUUUCUUUUACGUGAAAAGACUUAAAUUUUAAAAUAAGAAGAGAAGACCCCGGCGAGCUUGUUAAGGGUUGUUAAAUGAAAAUGACCAUUGAGGUUUGUUGGGGCAACGCAAAGGGAAGAAAACUCCUUUGAACGUGAUAAGGAUCCACUAAGAGUGAAUAAAGCAAAAGCUACCGCGGGGAUAACAGCGCAAUUUUCUUAGAGAGUUCAUAUCGAAGAGAAAGUUUGCGACCUCGAUGUUGGAUUAAGAUUUCCUUUUGGUGCAGGAGUUAAAAAGGUGGGACUGUUCGUCCUUUAAAAUUUU
rnacentral:rRNA from 1 species